rnacentral:rRNA from 1 species
AUAGCUGAUUGCACCAACUAAUAGUUGAUGCAAGAUUGAUUUUGUCAAAUAAAAUUCUGGGUAGAAUUAUGAUAAUGACAUAAUCUAUCUAAGUCUUGACCAAAUUGCGUGCCAGCAGUCGCGGUAAUACGUAUAAGACUAGUGUUAUUCAUCUUUAAUAGGUUUAAAGGGUACUUAGACGGUAGAUAAAGCCUUACCAGGAACUAAUUUACUAGAGUUACUUACGAGGGGGUAUUAAAGUACUGCAGGUGUAGAGAUGAAAUUCUGUCAUACCUCUUUUCGAAGGAAAAACUAUGGCACAGGUAUAGGUGAAAACAUCCCCUUAUGUGAUAACUGACGUUGAAGGACGAAGGCUUUGUGUCGCGAACAGGAUUAGAUACCCUAGUAGUCAAAGCAGAAAAUGAUGAAUGUCAUAGAUUAGAUAAAUAGUUUAUUCUAUAAAUGAAAAUGUAAGCAUUCCACCUCAAGAGUAAUUUGGCAACAUUGGAACUGAAAUCAUUAGACCGUUUCUGAAACCAGUAGUGAAGUAUGUUAUUUAAUUUGAUAAUCCGCAAAAAACCUUACCACGAUUUGAAUGUUUAUAUUUAUCUUUUUUUUUCGUAAAAACAUGAAAUAAGGUAAUAUAUUCACAAGUGUUGCACGGCUGUCUUCAGUUAAUGUCGUGAGACUUUGGUUAGUUCCAUUAAAUUAACGUAAACCCUUAUUUUAUUUUUAUAUAAAGUAGUUCUCCACUAUAUUGGAUUUGAUAACAGGGACUAAGACAAG